rnacentral:rRNA from 1 species
AGAGUGAACGCUGGCGGUAGGCCUAACACAUGCAAGUCGAACGGCAGCACAGUGGUAGCAAUACCAUGGGUGGCGAGUGGCGGACGGGUGAGGAAUACAUCGGAAUCUACCUUUUCGUGGGGGAUAACGUAGGGAAACUUACGCUAAUACCGCAUACGCCCUUCGGGGGAAAGCCGGGGAUCGCAAGACCUGGCGCGGAUAGAUGAGCCGAUGUCGGAUUAGCUAGUUGGUGAGGUAAUGGCUCACCAAGGCGACGAUCCGUAGCUGGUCUGAGAGGAUGAUCAGCCACACUGGAACUGAGACACGGUCCAGACUCCUACGGGAGGCAGCAGUGGGGAAUAUUGGACAAUGGGCGCAAGCCUGAUCCAGCCAUACCGCGUGGGUGAAGAAGGCCUUCGGUUGUAAAGCCCUUUUGUUGGAAAGAAAAGCAAUCGGUUAAUACCCGGUUGUUCUGACGGUACCAAAGAAUAAGCACCGGCUAACUUCGUGCCAGCAGCCGCGGUAAUCUA